UUGAAACACAAGUUCCCAUAUGAUCCCCGAAGUUAAGCAAAGUCAGGUAUGGUCAGCACCUAGAUGGGUGACCAAUUGAGAAUUCCAGGUGCUGUAAG